UACGUAGGGCGCAAGCGUUGUCCGGAAUUAUUGGGCGUAAAGAGCUCGUAGGCGGCUUGUCACGUCGGAUGUGAAAGCCCGAGGCUUAACCUCGGGUCUGCAUUCGAUACGGGCUAGCUAGAGUGUGGUAGGGGAGAUCGGAAUUCCUGGUGUAGCGGUGAAAUGCGCAGAUAUCAGGAGGAACACCGGUGGCGAAGGCGGAUCUCUGGGCCAUUACUGACGCUGAGGAGCGAAAGCGUGGGGAGCGAUCCGG
rnacentral:rRNA from 1 species